rnacentral:rRNA from 1 species
GGUUAAGCGACUAAGCGUACACGGUGGAUGCCCUGGCAGUCAGAGGCGAUGAAGGACGUGCUAAUCUGCGAUAAGCGUCGGUAAGGUGAUAUGAACCGUUAUAACCGGCGAUUUCCGAAUGGGGAAACCCAGUGUGAUUCGUCACACUAUCAUUAACUGAAUCCAUAGGUUAAUGAGGCGAACCGGGGGAACUGAAACAUCUAAGUACCCCGAGGAAAAGAAAUCAACCGAGAUUCCCCCAGUAGCGGCGAGCGAACGGGGAGCAGCCCAGAGCCUGAAUCAGUGUGUGUGUUAGUGGAAGCGUCUGGAAAGGCGUGCGAUACAGGGUGACAGCCCCGUACACAAAAAUGCACAUACUGUGAGCUCGAUGAGUAGGGCGGGACACGUGGUAUCCUGUCUGAAUAUGGGGGGACCAUCCUCCAAGGCUAAAUACUCCUGACUGACCGAUAGUGAACCAGUACCGUGAGGGAAAGGCGAAAAGAACCCCGGCGAGGGGAGUGAAAAAGAACCUGAAACCGUGUACGUACAAGCAGUGGGAGCACGCUUAGGCGUGUGACUGCGUACCUUUUGUAUAAUGGGUCAGCGACUUAUAUUCUGUAGCAAGGUUAACCGAAUAGGGGAGCCGAAGGGAAACCGAGUCUUAACUGGGCGUUAAGUUGCAGGGUAUAGACCCGAAACCCGGUGAUCUAGCCAUGGGCAGGUUGAAGGUUGGGUAACACUAACUGGAGGACCGAACCGACUAAUGUUGAAAAAUUAGCGGAUGACUUGUGGCUGGGGGUGAAAGGCCAAUCAAACCGGGAGAUAGCUGGUUCUCCCCGAAAGCUAUUUAGGUAGCGCCUCGUGAAUUCAUCUCCGGGGGUAGAGCACUGUUUCGGCAAGGGGGUCAUCCCGACUUACCAACCCGAUGCAAACUGCGAAUACCGGAGAAUGUUAUCACGGGAGACACACGGCGGGUGCUAACGUCCGUCGUGAAGAGGGAAACAACCCAGACCGCCAGCUAAGGUCCCAAAGUCAUGGUUAAGUGGGAAACGAUGUGGGAAGGCCCAGACAGCCAGGAUGUUGGCUUAGAAGCAGCCAUCAUUUAAAGAAAGCGUAAUAGCUCACUGGUCGAGUCGGCCUGCGCGGAAGAUGUAACGGGGCUAAACCAUGCACCGAAGCUGCGGCAGCGACGCUUAUGCGUUGUUGGGUAGGGGAGCGUUCUGUAAGCCUGUGAAGGUGUGCUGUGAGGUAUGCUGGAGGUAUCAGAAGUGCGAAUGCUGACAUAAGUAACGAUAAAGCGGGUGAAAAGCCCGCUCGCCGGAAGACCAAGGGUUCCUGUCCAACGUUAAUCGGGGCAGGGUGAGUCGACCCCUAAGGCGAGGCCGAAAGGCGUAGUCGAUGGGAAACAGGUUAAUAUUCCUGUACUUGGUGUUACUGCGAAGGGGGGACGGAGAAGGCUAUGUUGGCCGGGCGACGGUUGUCCCGGUUUAAGCGUGUAGGCUGGUUUUCCAGGCAAAUCCGGAAAAUCAAGGCCGAGGCGUGAUGACGAGGCACUACGGUGCUGAAGCAACAAAUGCCCUGCUUCCAGGAAAAGCCUCUAAGCAUCAGGUAACAUCAAAUCGUACCCCAAACCGACACAGGUGGUCAGGUAGAGAAUACCAAGGCGCUUGAGAGAACUCGGGUGAAGGAACUAGGCAAAAUGGUGCCGUAACUUCGGGAGAAGGCACGCUGAUACGUAGGUGAAGCGACUUGCUCGUGGAGCUGAAAUCAGUCGAAGAUACCAGCUGGCUGCAACUGUUUAUUAAAAACACAGCACUGUGCAAACACGAAAGUGGACGUAUACGGUGUGACGCCUGCCCGGUGCCGGAAGGUUAAUUGAUGGGGUUAGCGCAAGCGAAGCUCUUGAUCGAAGCCCCGGUAAACGGCGGCCGUAACUAUAACGGUCCUAAGGUAGCGAAAUUCCUUGUCGGGUAAGUUCCGACCUGCACGAAUGGCGUAAUGAUGGCCAGGCUGUCUCCACCCGAGACUCAGUGAAAUUGAACUCGCUGUGAAGAUGCAGUGUACCCGCGGCAAGACGGAAAGACCCCGUGAACCUUUACUAUAGCUUGACACUGAACAUUGAGCCUUGAUGUGUAGGAUAGGUGGGAGGCUUUGAAGUGUGGACGCCAGUCUGCAUGGAGCCGACCUUGAAAUACCACCCUUUAAUGUUUGAUGUUCUAACGUGGACCCGUGAUCCGGGUUGCGGACAGUGUCUGGUGGGUAGUUUGACUGGGGCGGUCUCCUCCUAAAGAGUAACGGAGGAGCACGAAGGUUGGCUAAUCCUGGUCGGACAUCAGGAGGUUAGUGCAAUGGCAUAAGCCAGCUUGACUGCGAGCGUGACGGCGCGAGCAGGUGCGAAAGCAGGUCAUAGUGAUCCGGUGGUUCUGAAUGGAAGGGCCAUCGCUCAACGGAUAAAAGGUACUCCGGGGAUAACAGGCUGAUACCGCCCAAGAGUUCAUAUCGACGGCGGUGUUUGGCACCUCGAUGUCGGCUCAUCACAUCCUGGGGCUGAAGUAGGUCCCAAGGGUAUGGCUGUUCGCCAUUUAAAGUGGUACGCGAGCUGGGUUUAGAACGUCGUGAGACAGUUCGGUCCCUAUCUGCCGUGGGCGCUGGAGAACUGAGGGGGGCUGCUCCUAGUACGAGAGGACCGGAGUGGACGCAUCACUGGUGUUCGGGUUGUCAUGCCAAUGGCACUGCCCGGUAGCUAAAUGCGGAAGAGAUAAGUGCUGAAAGCAUCUAAGCACGAAACUUGCCCCGAGAUGAGUUCUCCCU